rnacentral:rRNA from 1 species
AGUGAACGCUGGCGGCAGGCCUAACACAUGCAAGUCGAACGGCAAGACAGUAAGAGCGUGCUCUUACGGGUGGCGGGUGGCGGACGAGUGAGGAAUACAUCGCAAACCUCUUUGUCGUGGGUAAUAACGUGGGGCAACUUAUGCUAAUGCCGUAUAGGACCAACGGGUGGGUGCAAGAGAUCUUGGGGCUUUGGGUGAUUGAGUGAGCUGAGGUCGGAUUAGCUAGUUGGCGGGGUAAAGGCCCGCCAAGGCGACGAUCCGUAGCGGGGCUGAGCGGAUGAUCAGCCACACUGGAACUGAGACACGGUCCAGACUCCUACGGGAGGCAGCAGUGGGGAAUAUUGGACAAUGGGCGCAAGCCUGAUCCAGCCAUACCGCGUGGGUGAAGAAGGCCUUCGGGUUGUAAAGCCCUUUUGUUGGGGAAGAAAAGCAGCAGGUUAAUACCCCGCUGUUCUGACGGUACCCAAAGAAUAAGCACCGGCUAACUUCGUG